rnacentral:lncRNA from 1 species
GUUGCUGGAACCUCUGUGAAAGCAGAGGAAGCUGGAAAGGAUGUAAUACAGUAGCUGCUGAUGAUCAUCUUGCCACCAUAGGGCUCUUUCAGAUCUUCAAGAAUGUUUAAGCAUACAAAGAAGCCCCGAGACCACAAGGGUGAGAACUACCAUCCUCCCCGCUCUCCGGAUGCUCCCACAGCCUGGGCUCCCCAGUGCAGCUGGAUCACCUUCUCCUGCUCUCAGACAAUGGAGCUCUUGGUUCUCAGGCUUUUGGACUCUAAGGCUUAUAUCAAUAGCCUCCCACCCCCAGAUUCUCAGACCUUAGGCCUUGGAGUGGGAGUUACACCACUGGCUUCCCUGAUUCUCAGGCUCUCAGACUUCAACUGAAUUACAUCACCAUCUUUCCUGGUUCUUCAGCUUGUAAAUAGUAUGUCAUGGGACUUCUUGGCCUCUGUAAUUGCAUGAAACAAUUCCCAUAAUAAAUCUUCUCUAUAUGUAUUGCAUUGGUUCUGUUUCUCUGGAGAACUCUGACUAAUAUAAUUCCUAAGAGUGGAAUUUCUGGGUCAUAUGUAAUUCUAUGUUUAGCUUUUUGAGGAGCCACCAAAUUGUUUUCCACAGCAACUUCCAACAGUGACAAGGGUUUCUUUUUUCUUUUAUAGGUUCAGUAUUCUUUAUUAUAAACAAUCAGACAACAGUGUAAGUGUGCAUUUGAUGGAUAACCGAAGCCAAGUUAUUAUAAUAGAAAGCAUGACUUCGCUCAAAUAGAGUUUCUUUGUUGUUGUUGAUCUGUUUUACAUUAAUUUGAAUUUAACAUAUGCUAGGAUCACCUAAAUUUGUCAUACAGUUCUGCUAUUAAAAUUGUAACAGGGAAAGACAAAAUGUGAAAUGCAUGUUAUAUUUUGCUUUAUUUGUUGAAUAUCUAUCUAUCUAUCUACACUAAAUAUUUGGGACACAUUCAGAGUUAAGCAGGUGCUUAAAGUCUAUCAAGUGAUAUUUAUAAAAUGUUUUUGUUGCUGUUAUGGGAACAUCCAUAUCCUUAGAAGCCAAUAAAAAAGAGGAUUCUAAAUGCUAGGUGGUUGGCUAAAUGUUCCUGAUUUAUACUGAGUGUAAAACAAAAUAAAACAAAACAUAAGGUAUAUGUGUUAAGUAGUGACAUCUACAUAGUUCCAAAGCACUGGCAACUAUUAAAAUAUCAUCCAGCUAAAACAAACUUUUCACAAUUUUUUUUAACAGAAAAAUAAUAAACCAACAACAAAAACUGGUAAAUGUUCUGGGUCUUGUGAGCAGACCAAAAUGUUACUACAGUGUUCUCUAUUGUGUGAUCCCAGUGUACAAGUUUCUAUUUCUCCAUAUCCUUAUCAACAUUUGCUAUUUUCCAUGUUUUUGAUUAUAGUUAUCCUAGCGGGUGUGAAGUGGUUUAUCUCUUGCAGGUGUUAAGUGGUAUCCCACUGUGGUUUUCAUUUGCAUUUCUUUAGUAACAAAUGAUGCUGAACAUGCUUUCAUGUGCUUAUUGGCCAUUUGUAUGUCUUCUCUGGAGAUAUGUCUAUUCAGGUUCUUUGCCUAUUUCUUAAUUUUUUUUUUUUUUUUUGUGGUUGAGUUUUAAGUGUUCUUUAUAUAUUCUGGAUACAAGUCCAUUAUUUGCAAAUACUUUCUCUCAUUUUGUGGGCUGUGUUUCUACUUUCUAGAUAAUAUAUUUUAUUGUGCAAAUGGUUUUACUUUUUAUGAAGUCUAAUUUAUCCAUUUCUUCCUUUUGUUGCUCAUGCUUUUGGUGUCAAAUCUAAGAAUCCAUUGCCAAGUCUGAGGUUAUAAAUAUUUACUCCUAUGUUUUUCUCUAAAUAGUUUACCCCUAUGUUUUCCUCUUGUAUUUGGGUCAUUGAUCCAUUUUGAGUUAAUUUUUGUGUAUGGAGUGAGGUACGGGUCCAGCUUCAUUCUUUUGCCUGUGAUUAUGCAGUUGCCCCGGCACUGUUUGUUGAAGAGACUAUUCUUUCCCCAUUGAGUUGUGCUGAACACUUAUUGAAAAUCAAUUAGCCAUAGAUAUUUAUUUCUAGGCUGUCAAUUAUAUUCCACUGGUGUAUAUGUCUGUCCUUAUGUCAGUACCACACUGGUUUGAUUAUAGAAGUUUGGAGCAUGUUUGGAAAUCUGGAAGCAUGAGCCCUGAAACUUUGUGUUUCUUUUUCUUUCUUUUUUGGUGUGUUUCUUUUUCAAUAGUAUUUUGACUACUUGGGGUUCAUUCCAGUUCCACAUAAAUUUGAGGAUUAGUUUUUCUAUUUCCUUAGGAAAUGCCAUUGGAAUUUUGAUAGGGGUUGCAUUGAAUCUGUGGAUCAUUUGCAAUUAAUAUUCCAAUACAUCAACAUGUGUUGUCUUCCAUUUAUUUAGGUCUUCUUUAAUUUCUUUCAGCAAUGUUUUGUAGUUUUCAGCAUAGAAGUCUUUCUCCUUGGUUUAAGUAUUUUACUCUUUUGGAUGCUGUUAUAAAUGGAAUUGUUACUUAAUUUCAUUUUCAGACUGUUCAUUGCUGAUGCAUAGAAAAUGGACUUUCGUGCACUGAUCUUGCAAUCUGCAACUAUGUUGAAUUUGUUUAUUGGCUCUAGUAGUUGUGUGCAUUUUGGUAUUGUUAUAUUUUCUAUACAUAGAAUUAUUUCAUCUUCAAAUAGAGAUAACUUUACUGCUUCCUUUCCAGUUUGGAGGCUGUUUAUUGCUUUUUCUUGCCUAACUGCUCUGGCUAGGACUUCCAGUACAAUAUUUAAUAGUAGUGGUAAAAAUGGGCAUUCUUGUCUUGUUCCUGCUCAGUGGGGAAGCUUCUGCUCUUUUACCAUUGAGUAUAAUGUGAGUUGUGGGUUUUGUGUAAGUGACCUUUAUCAUGUUAAGGAAGUUCUCUGUAUUCUGAUUUGUUGGUGAGUGUUUGUAUCCUGAAAGUGUUUGAAGUGUUGAAUUUUGUUGCAUGCAUUUAAUGUAUCUAUUGUGAUAUCAUUUCCCUCUUUACAGAGUUGUGUUACAUUGAUGGAUUUUUUUUUUUCUUAUGUUGAGCCACCCUUGCAUUUCUGGGAGAAAUCCCACUUGGUCAUGAUCUAUAAUCCUUUGAAUGUGCUACUGGAUUUGGUUUGCUAUUUUGUUGAGGAUUUUUUGAGUCUAUAUUCAUAAGAUAUACCGGACAGUCGUUUUGUCUGCCUUUGAUAUCAAGGUAACGGUGGACUCAUAGAAUCAUACCUUUGAUAUCAAGGUAACGGUGGACUCAUAGAUAUUCUGCAUUUAUAUUUUUGUAAUCACAAUUUGUAAAGAAUUCUCAAAAUCCAACAGUAAGAAAACAAAUAAUCCAAUAAACAAAAAGGCAAGGACUCUUUUU